UGUGGUCAUCUUCCAUAGCCACAUUUGCGGAAUUGCGUUUCCAUGUGAUUUCUUACAUGUUUAACACGUAGAGUACAAUUCAGGCUCAGGUGGUGUGGCAUCUUGUCUUCUAAAGUAUCUGAAAUUGAAAAUCCAUCAGUGAAGACCGUCUGUGUGCUGCUGCACAAGUGUUCUUAUUUCAGGUAAAUUUAGGACACCCUCAUCCUUGACAAUUUGCAAGACCAAUUGACAGUCCAUCUUCUGCCUGUGGGAAGCCAGAACGGGAAGAGCUUCCAGGCAGGAAGAGGAGGAGAUGAGAGAAGAGGAGGAGCAUAUUUCCUCGGAUAUCACCAAGGUACCAAAAAUGGAAGGAUUUUGUUUUGAGAGGUAGUCCUUCCGGAGCAUGCACAUCUAGAAGCCAAGGAGGCGCUACCUGUCUACUGUAUAUUGGAGCUUCCACAUCCAUGGCCUAAUCACUAGUGCUUGCAGUACAAUUGACAUGUCCAUAAUGCGGUGUCAUGUACUCGUCUUCCGUAGCCACUUAUGCCGAUUUUUUUUCUUGCAGUUACUUACAGGAUUAACACGUGCAGUACAUACAAUUCAAGCUCAGGUGGUGUGGCAUCUGGUGUUGUGACAUAUCUAAAAUUGAAAAUCCAUUGGUGAAGAUCAUCCGUGUGUGGCUGCAGAGCGUGCUAUUCUAUCAGAAGAGCUUCCAGUUCCAGGCAGGAAGAGGAAGAGAGGAAAAGGACUCUUACUCCACUGAAACCAUCGCCGGGUGAAAUGCGUCACCGAGCAGGACAGGAGCGUAUUUCCUCAGAUGUCACCAAGUUAGUUCUUACAGGUUUAACACGUGCAGUACAUAUAAUUCAAGCUCAGGUGGUAUGGCAUAUGGUUUUUUGAAGCAGUAUCUGAAAUUGAAAAUCCAUCAGUGUGCGACCGCAUAGAGUGCUAUUCUAUCAGCCCGAAGGGAAGAUCUUCCAGGCAGGAAAAGAAGGAGAGGAAACGGAUUCCUGCUCUGCUCUACUGAAACUAUUGCCGGGCGAAUGCGGCAACGGACAGGAGCACACUGCCUCUUUCCUCUGAUAUCACCAAGGGGCCAAGUCGAAGGCUCGAGUAUAGAUUCCCUAUGCUCAUGUGAACGGCCGGCCCGUAGAUCUAAAAGGAUCCAAAAAAAGACCGGAUAUGAGAACAACUAACUUUUUUUGUUGAUGGUGCAUUGGAAAAGAGUUUAUGGGCAUUUUUAGUGCACACGAAUUCUCUUCAAAUAUGCGAAAAUUAAACCCUACUGUACAGCUUAUGUUUUUUUAUGCAUGAUAAUACAAACAUGAUAAAAACUCCCCUCUGUCUCAAAAUAUAAGUAAGUGUCUCAAACUGUAAGACGUUUUUCUGAUACAAAGAGAGUAUAAAAAAAUGUCUUAUAUUUUGAGACAGAGGGAGUAAAAACAAACCAUCUAUCCGUUCCCUUCCCGGUUUGUUGGCAACAUGGUUCUUUUUCAUCUGGAGGAUUGUUGAGGCUGUAGGAAUUGAACCCCGGAAUAAAUCUCAUUUUUGUGUCAACUUUUUUAGUUUACAGCAAGUUUAAAUUCCGCAUAUUUCCUUUUGUAUAGUUGCAUUCAAGGGUAUUUUAGGCUACUAGCUCCUGGA